GCAAUAAUGUUUACAGUCGCCAUGAUGGCUUUCAUGACAAAAAUGACAUUAGCAAUAGCAAUCUUAACGUUUACAACAUGUACCGUAGUCGCGGUCGUGGCACUCCAAGAAGAAUUGAUAAAGAAAAAUUACGUGAAAUCAUUACUCUGCUGCAUCAGUACAACCCCUUAAUGAAGUUGUUCUCAAUGAAGAGUAAUCGCAAGCAAAGGGUUGCCUGGAGAAAGUGGCUUGGCUUGUAUGACUCGACGAAUAGUGGUAUUAAUGGUAUUGGAUAAUAAAUGGAAAGUCGGAAUUUUGACUUGUGGUAUUCAA